rnacentral:tRNA from 1 species
GGCCCCGUAGCUCAGCUGGAUAGAGCGUCCCCCUCCUAAGGGGAAGGUCGCACGUUCGAAUCGUGCCGGGGUCG